AUUGGACCCAGAACUUUACGCCCAUUUAAAAAACAAAUUUUUUUUUUGAAAUAGAAUCUCACUAAGUUGACCAGGCUGACCUCACACUUGCAGCCCUCCUUCACAAGUAGCUGGGGUUACAGGCAUGUGCCACCAUGCCCAGCAAGGCUGCUGCUGACACUAAUGAAGAGAAGCAUCAGUCUCGCAACUGUGGUGUCAUUAAGUCAAGCACGAUCUUUCUCAGAGUGACCCACAGAGCUAGAACUCUGGAGCUCAAGUGAGGAAACCAGCCUAGUCCCACCACAAGCCCAGAGCAAUCGUUUCAUGUGAAGCCGCCUUGAUGGCACGUGUCUGCUUCACAUGGUCAAAGUAUGCUGUCCAACUGCAUUAUAGCCUCUUGUGGUAGGCAUCGUAGGUGUCAUCUUUUGGUAUUUGGGUGAGGCAGGAGUCUGAACAGUCACACUUGUAGUCUUGCUAACACUGAGAACCUGGCAGUGAUUUAAAGCACCGUUUAGUACAAGAGAGAUGACUCCUCCAGCAAUUAGUAUUGCCACAUUUUUGUAGCUAAGUCCCAAGGUAGUCUUUCACUUCAUGGCCUCGACUGCCUAUGGAUAGGAUUAGAGGGUGCAGCAAAGAUGUGUAGCCUUCACUAUCUGUUCUACCUUGAAUUAUAUGUGCAUCAAGAAUGCGCAUCAUAAGCUGGGUGUGGUGGUGCAUACCUGUAAUCCCAGCACUGGGAAGGCUGAGGCAGGAGAAUCACUGAGAGUUCAAGGCCAUCCUCAACCACAUAGCAAAACCCUGACUCAAAACAUCCAAAAUAGGGCCAGGGAUUUAGCUCAGUGGUUCCGCCGCCUGCCUCACAAGUGCAAGGACCCAAGUUCAAUUCCCAGUACCAAAAAAAAAAAAUCCAAAAUAAAAAUAUAAAAAUGCAAAUCAUAACUGCAUCAUCAGGAAAGGAACUAGUGGUGAUUUUAGCCCCCUACUAUAUUAAUGCUUUAUGUAUUGGUUUUGGAAAAACUUUGUAAAUGGAUGAAAUCAUA
ensembl:lncRNA